rnacentral:rRNA from 1 species
CCUACGGGUGGCAGCAGUGGGGAAUAUUGCACAAUGGGGGAAACCCUGAUGCAGCGACGCCGCGUGAGUGAAGCAGUAUUUCGGUACGUAAAGCUCUAUCAGCAGGGAAGAAAAUGACGGUACCUGACUAAGAAGCCCCGGCUAACUACGUGCCAGCAGCCGCGGUAAUACGUAGGGGGCAAGCGUUAUCCGGAUUUCCUGGGUGUAAAGGGAGCGUAGACGGCAGCGCAAGUCUGGAGUGAAAUCCAAUGGCUUAACCAUGGAACUGCUUUGGAAACUGUGCAGCUAGAGUGCAGGAGAGGUAAGCGGAAUUCCUAGUGUAGCGGUGAAAUGCGUAGAUAUUAGGAGGAACACCAGUGGCGAAGGCGGCUUACUGGACUGUAACUGACGUUGAGGCUCGAAAGCGUGGGGAGCAAACAGGAUUAGAUACCCCAGUAGUC